UUGAUCCUGGCUCAGAACGAACGCUGGCGGCAGGCCUAACACAUGCAAGUCGAACGAAGCCUUCGGGCUUAGUGGCGGACGGGUUAGUAACGCGUGGGAACGUGCCUUUCACUACGGAAUAGUCCCGGGAAACUGGGUUCAAUACCGUAUACGCCCUUCGGGGGAAAGAAUUUCGGUGAAAGAUCGGCCCGCGUUAGAUUAGAUAGUUGGUGGGGUAAUGGCCUACCAAGUCUACGAUCUAUAGCUGGUUUUAGAGGAUGAUCAGCAACACUGGGACUGAGACACGGCCCAGACUCCUACGGGAGGCAGCAGUGGGGAAUCUUAGACAAUGGGCGAAAGCCUGAUCUAGCCAUGCCGCGUGAGUGAAGAAGGUCCUAGGAUCGUAAAGCUCUUUCGCCAGGGAUGAUAAUGACAGUACCUGGUAAAGAAACCCCGGCUAACUCCGUGCCAGCAGCCGCGGUAAUACGGAGGGGGUUAGCGUUGUUCGGAAUUACUGGGCGUAAAGCGCGCGUAGGCGGAUCAGAAAGUUGGGGGUGAAAUCCCGGGGCUCAACCCCGGAACUGCCUCCAAAACUCCUGGUCUUGAGUUCGAGAGAGGUGAGUGGAACUCCGAGUGUAGAGGUGAAAUUCGUAGAUAUUCGGAAGAACACCAGUGGCGAAGGCGGCUCACUGGCUCGAUACUGACGCUGAGGUGCGAAAGUGUGGGGAGCAAACAGGAUUAGAUACCCUGGUAGUCCACACCGUAAACGAUGAAUGCCAGUCGUCGGGCAGUAUACUGUUCGGUGACACACCUAACGGAUUAAGCAUUCCGCCUGGGGAGUACGGUCGCAAGAUUAAAAACUCAAAGGAAUUUGACGGGGGCCCGCACAUGCGGUUGGAGCAUGUGGGUUUAAUUCGAAGCAACGCGCAGAACCUUACCAACCCUUGACAUCCUGAUCGCGGUU
rnacentral:rRNA from 1 species